UGGGGAAUCUUGGACAAUGGGCGCAAGCCUGAUCCAGCCAUGCCGCGUGAGUGAAGAAGGCCUUCGGGUUGUAAAGCUCUUUUGUCAGGGACGAUAAUGACGGUACCUGAAGAAUAAGCCCCGGCAAACUUCGUGCCAGCAGCCGCGGUAAUACGAAGGGUGCAAGCGUUACUCGGAAUUACUGGGCGUAAAGCGUGCGUAGGUGGUUUGUUAAGUCUGAUGUGAAAGCCCUGGGCUCAACCUGGGAAUUGCAUUGGAUACUGGCAGGCUAGAGUGCGGUAGAGGAUGGCGGAAUUCCCGGUGUAGCAGUGAAAUGCGUAGAUAUGUGGAGGAAUACCGAUGGCGAAGGCAGCCCCCUGGGCUAACACUGACGCUCAUGCACGAAAGCGUGGGGAGCAAACAGGAUUAGAUACCCCUGUAGUCCCUGAGCGGGCUGGCAAGGCGCAU
rnacentral:rRNA from 1 species